UAAUAGCUAAAUAAUAUUUUAUCAUAUGACUUAUAAUUUAUAAGCAUUUCCCCAAUGUUAGACAUUUCAGUUGAUUCUGAUUUUUCUUUAUGAAUAAUAUUGUCAGAAACACUUUUAUGUGUGAGUCAUCCAUAUUUCUGACCAUAGAUUUCCACAAGUAGAAUUCUGAAGUCAAAGGGUAGAAAUAACGCCAAGAUUGCUACAUAUGGUUUCAUUACUUUUUGGCAAUGAUAUUUAUCCUAACAAAACUCUUACACUGAUAGAGUUGGAUAUUUAUUACCUUAAGGACAGGAGAUCCUUAGCUUUUCAGAUCUGAUGUUCCAAGUGUGUGUUGACUAUUCAAGAAUGACUCCAAAGUUCAUGACAUAAAGUAGUUUGCAUAUUUACUGAACAAAAUUUAAUCACAUGGGCCUAGAGGCUGGUGAGUGACCAAGUCUGCCUAGCAAAUGUUUCACUGGGGCUUCAUGGGUCUGUGUAAUACCUCUCAUAUAUUGACUUAAAGACUUAAUUUGUUUGAAAAUGGACAACUUUUGUGAAAAUCAAAAGGAUCAUUAAUUUAUGGUAUACAGGUAUGCACAGAAAAUCUGCAGUUGUCAGAGAAAUAUUAAGAAAAAACCUAGAGUUGAUACAGACUUUUUUUUUUUUUUGAGAUGGAGUUUCGCUCUUGUUACCCACCUCCACCUCCUGGGUUCAAGCAAUUCUCCUGCCUCAGCUUCCCGAGUAGCUGGGACUACAGGCACGUGCCACCAUGCCCAGCUAAUUUUUUUGUAUUUUUAGUAGAGACGGAGUUUCACCAUGUUGACCAGGUCUCGAUCUCUUGACCUUGUGAUCCUCCCACCUCGGCCACCCAAAGUGCUGGGAUUAUAGGCGUGAGCCACCGUGCCCGGCUGGAUACAGACUCUUUUAUAUUAAAAUAAAAGAUUUGCUAUGGUCUACUACUUUCCAGUGACUACUUUCUAAUUGCUUAAUAGUAUGUAUUGACCUGUCAUUUCUAGAAAAUAAUUUCAGUUUUAGUGCCAACCAUCAGAAUUAUUCUUUUUAUAAUAAAUCACCAAAUGGUUAUAUAUGCAUAUAUAUCUUUGUAAUAAAAUAUGAAAAAUACAUUAACCAAAUUAUCAGAUUGAACUUCUACAGAUGUUUGCCCCUUACUUGUUUUAAUUUUAAAAGUUCUCUUUGGCAAAAAUGUCUUAUACUCUAGCCAGGGAAGAAAAUGUGUAGAAAACACUUUAAUCAGUGUCUGGGAGUCUGAGAACAAACUUAGCAAAUGUAGCUUAGAACAAUCAUAAGCUUAGCUUAGCAUCUUUCCUUAACCUUGUACUUCUAAGUAGGAUGGCCCACCUCGCCAGCACCCGCUCACAGUCUGGAAGCAGCUUCUCCCUCCCCCAUGUUUUGAGCUGUUCCCCUUGAGGGUUGCUUUCUCUCCCAUUGCUGACAGGGAGGUGGUGGUAGCUGCAUUUGUCUCCCAUCUGUGCCCCAGAACGUUUCUUGCUUUUGUUUUACAGUCCUAUGACAGACUAGCAUGCCCCCUUCCUAUCUCAGGGCCUAGCUCCCCCGCCCCCCAACCAAGGUCUCAGACACGUACAAACAUUGCCUCUCUUUGAGGAGCUCAUACAGCUGCAUGUCUGGACCUUUUACAUAGUGAUCUGUUAAAGGCAUAGAAUCAGCCUGUAAUAUGCUGAGAUCACCCUGGUAAUAUUGCAGACGGAGCUGGGUCUGUCUGGUUUGUGGCCUCUGUAGCCUUUUCCCCUGGGUCUCCUGGGGCCGCUUGAACCUGACUAGCCAGCCUCUCAACUGGCUCUAGGACCCAGCCUGAACUGAAGCAGAGGGACUGAGGCUGCCUCAGGCUCUGUAAUUUGGCCUCAAGUCACCAUUGCUGGCCUUGUGCCUCAGCUCUGAUAACUGGACUCUUGUCUGGCUCCUGUGUGCCAGAAUCCCAUGGUAACCUGCCUCAUUUCCCUGUGCCUUGUUUUUAUCAGCCUGCCUCCCAGGGAUUGAAACCCUGCCCUGAAACACAGUGACCAAUGCACUUUCCCAGUGUCACCCAGCCCUCUUGCCUUUCUGAUUGGAUUCCAGAGGACCUUACAUUUCUCCUUGUUCUGCAGCCUGUAAUCAGGAAACCUCUAUUUUGGACACUUUUCUCUGUAAAUGGCCACUUAGUUCUCUUAGUUACUUGAGCCAAAACCUUGGAGUCACCCAUAACUCCUUGCAUUGUCUCACAUCCCACAGCUGAGCCCUCAGCAAAUUCUUGGUUCUGCUUUAAAAAUAUAUCCAGAAUCUGACUACCCUGGUCGGACCCACUAUCAUUUUGUCCCUGGAUUCUUGCAAGAGCCUCCUUCCCGACUGGGCCUCCGGUAGAGAAUCCUAUCUUCUUUCAGUGUAUUCUCAACACUGCCACCUGAGUGAUCCUUUUAAAAUAGGAGCCAGGACCAGGUGCAAUGGUUCAUGCCUGUAAUCCCAGUACUUUGGGAGGGCAAGGUGGGCAGAUCACCUGAGGUCAGGAGUUCAAGACCAGCCUGACCAACAUGGUAAAACCCUGUCUCUACUAAAAAUACAAAAAUUAGCCAGGUUUGCGGGUGGGCACCUGUAGUCCCAACUACUCGGGAGGCUGAGGCAGGAGAAUCGCUUGAACCUCUCGGGAGGUGGAGGUUGUAGUGAGCCAAGAUUGCACCAUUUUACUCCAGUCUGGGCAACGUAGUGAGAUUCCAUCUCAAAAAAUAAGAUACGAGCCAAAUAAUCUUACUCCUUACAGUCCUCCAGUGGCUCCUGUUUCUCUCAGGGUAAAGGCAGAGUGCAGAGUGCCGGCAGUCACCAUAGGCUCUCAUCAUCUCUGCCCUUAGCUGCUUACCAACAUCUCUCCAACUCCCUGCUCACUCACUCCACACCAGCCACACUGGCCUUUUCCUCUGUUCCUUGAACCUUUCUUAGGCUUUCUCUGCCAGGAAUGCUUUCUUUCCAGAUAUGUGAUUGGCUUACGUCCUCACUUCCCUUGGCCCUUCAUUCAAAUAUCACCUGCCAGAAAGGCCUUGCCUCUCUAACAUUGCAACUCCCUCCACUGUCUUUCCUGCCUUAGUUUUCUCCUCAGCACUGAGCACGAUCUAAUAUAACACACACACACACACACACACACACACACACACACACUCUAUAUGUAUAUAUUAUAUAUACAUAUUAUAUACAUAUGUACUUCUUUUUCUUUUCAGUCAACAUGUGAUAUAUACUUUUUUUUUUUUUGAGAUGGAGUUUCGCUCUUGUUACCCAGGCUGGAGUGCAAUGGCGCGAUCUCGGCUCACCGCAACCUCCGCCUCCUGGGUUCAGGCAAUUCUCCUGCCUCAGCCUCCUGAGUAGCUGGGAUUACAGGCACGUGCCACCAUGCCCAGCUCAUUUUUUGUAUUUUUAGUAGAGAUGGGGUUUCACCAUGUUGACCAGGAUGGUCUCAAUCUCUUGACCUUGUGAUCCACCUGCCUUGGCCUCCCGAAGUGCUGGGAUUACAGGCAUGAGCCACUGCGCCCAGCCCUGAUAUAUACAUAUUUUUAUAUGUAUAUGUAUAUGUGUGUAUGUGUGUGUAUAUAUAUAUAUGUAUGUAUGUAUAUAUAUGUGUGUGUGUGUGUGUGUGUGUAUAUAUAUAUACUUUUUUUUUUUUUUUUGAAACUGAAUCUUGCUGUGUCGCCUGGGCUGGAGUGCAGUGGUGUGAUCUCGGCUCACUGCAACCUCCACCUCCCUAGUUCAAGCAAUUCUUCUGCCUCAACUUCCCUAGUAGCUGGGACUACAGAUGCAUGCCACCAUGCCAGCUGCUUUUUGUGUUUUUAGUAGAGAUGGGGUUUCGCCAUGUUGGCCAGGCUGGUCUCUAACUCCUGACCUUAGGUGAUCUGACUGCCUUGACAUCCCAAAGUGCUGGGAUUACAGGUGUGAGCCACCAUGCCUGGCCUACUGUGUAUUUUUAUUUAUUUAUUUAAUAUUCUUUCUCCUCAAGCCCCUGAGGGCAAGGGUGCUUUGGUUCACUGCUGUAUUUCUAAAGUCUAGAUCAGUACCUGGCCAGGGUAUGAGUUCCAAAAAUGUUUCUUGAAUGAAUGAAUCAGAUAGUUGAAUACCUGAGUAUUAGCACUAUUCUGUACGUUUUAUAUGUAUUAUCUCAUUGAAUUCUCACAUUAAGCUUGUGUGAUGGCACUUUUAUGACUCCUAUUUUACAGAUGAGAAAACUGAGUCUUAAGAGGUUAAGCGACUUGCCAAAAAGGACCUGAGCCACCACACAAAUAUUUGACUAGAGCAGCAAGUCAGAAUAAACAUAGGCUUUGUUACUAUCCAGAUUUAUGUUCAAGUCACAGCUCUAUCAAUUACUGGUUGAAUUAAAACAUCUCUAAACUUUAAUAUUCUUAGUUAUAAAAUAAUGAUUCUGUCUCCCAGGUUUCUUGGAAGAAUUACACAAGAUCAUGGGUACAUUAUUUUCAUAUGUAUUUUCCUGAUUGCUGGUAAAGUUGAAAUUUUUUCAUAUAUAUAUUUUUUGUUGUUAAGUUUUUUGAGGUAAGGUCUCACUCUGUCACUCAGGCUGGAGUGCAAUAGUGUGAUCUUGGCUCACUGCAAACUCUGCCUCCCAGGCACAAGUGAUCCUCCCACCUCAGCCCCCCUAGUAGCUGGAACCACAGAUGCAUGCCACCACACCCGGCUAAAUUUUGUUACCCAGCUAAUUUUUGUGUUUUUGUUCGAUACUGGGUUUUGCCUUGUUGGCCAGGCUGGUCUCCAACUCCUGGGCUUAAGUGAUCCGCCCACCUUGGCCUCCCAAAGUUCUGGGAUUAUAGGCAUGAGCCACCCACGCCUGGCCUUUUUCAUGUAUUUACUAGCCAUUCUGGUUUCAUCUUCUGGGAAUUUCCUGUUCAUAAUCUUUUCUCAGUUUGCAGGUUUUUCUUAACAAAUUGUAGGAGUUCUUUGAAUGUUGGAGAUACAUGUUGUCUUAUAUGUUACAAAUAGCUUUCCUCACACUAUCAUUUGCUUUUUGAACAUGAUUUUGGAACCUUCUUUUAUUGAUCUACUUAGCAGUCUGGGGUUGGUAGUUGAUCAAAUACUUGAGAAUAGGGAUUUAUUCAUUCAGCUAGCCUUUGUUGAGGGCUGGAACUUUGUGGAUGUCCAUUCAGUGAGGACAGCUGUAAAUCUUGACUUCCAGUUUACAUCACUGAUCAUGGCUCUCAGCUUUGGUUCUACCAGAUUCUUGAAAGAGAGUGUGUUUUCUCAGAGCCAAGUAGACCCAAACAUUUCCCAGACUUUGACCACAUAAUCAGAAAUUUCAAAAGAGUUCUGGAAUUUGUGGGCUUAGCUCCAGUUACCAGGCAUACGUUGUCUUCCCUGUGGGCAGAGAUUGCCUUCAGCUUACUCCACCCUCCUCAGCUACGAAGCAUGAUCAGGGCAGAUGAUGAAUGCUUCAGAUAUCCCCUGUGGGGUGAACUCCAGAGGCAGCCUCAGAAACUAGAUGUGUAAUUCAUAUGGUCAAAACCUGUCAGGCUCUUCUGAAAUCGUGUGACUUCCUAUCAGGCACCAGCUCUGCAGAUCCUCAAAGGUCUGGCUUUCAGAACACUGGGGAAGAGUGCAGCGCCCAGAUACUGCCUGUUGGAGCUGCAGGUCCUGUUUGAAUUUGAACAGUAAAAGGCCCCAGAAUGAAUGAGCAGUGCUCUUGAUUGCACCUGCAGGUUCGGGUUUACUUUGUGGAGACGUCUCACACAAGAACUGUCUGUCUUGUGAGCCACUUGGGGGUUCAACCAAAUUGGCCAAGAAAAUUUAAUACCACACAAGCCCUUUUCUUGUGUGGUAUUUCUUGUGUGAUAAAGCAAUUUAAUAAGUCUCUAUCAUAAGUCUGUACGACCUGCCAUCCAGCACGUCAAAAUAGACAAAAUGUUCAUGCUAAUGGUCACAAGUGCAGUCCCUAGAGUGGGGAUCCGGUGACCAGUUUCACCACUAACCAGCACUGGAUUGUACACCAGAUCCUUAGUCUCUCUGCAUGUCAGCUCACUCAACUGCAAGAUGUGGCUACUAAUAGUACCUAGGAAAAAGCUGUUGGGAGGAUUAACUUAGGUCAUGCAUCCAAAUCCUUAGAAAAAUGCCCAGCGCAGUUGUUGUUCAAUACAUAUUGCAAAGUUCCUGGUAUAAACUCCCUGUUGCAGCCUUCUAAUUUGACUUCAAUAGAUUGUUGGUACCAUUUCCCUCUUUCUUGACAGGUAUUCUAUCUAGGCCUAGAGAACUAAGGUUUUGCUGUUUAUUAAUGAAGUUUCUUAAAUCCCAUACAGGCUAGUUGCAUCCUACUAAUUCUUCACAGACUAGAUAAAAACACAUUUGCUGAAGUCUUAAUCUGCCUGUCCUGAAGUCAGCCGGGCUGUUUGUUAGUACUUUGACUCAGUGCAGCUCCCAAGAGAGGCAGAGAGAAUACCUACAGCAAAGACACAUGAGGGGGUGGCAGCGGUGGCAGUGUAGAACCAGGAAAGAAGCUAGAUCUCUCUAUUCCCUUGCAUUUUGAAUCUGUGUUAUAGUCAGUCAUAUUAAUAUGAAGCAAUCCUCUUACUUCUCUCCCUAAUCUAGCCCCUGACUGUCAGGUCAUAAAAGAGGGGAGAAGAGGCACUACAUUUAAAGUAGUGAUUAUCUCUAACUACAAUUUUAAGUCCCUACAUGUUUGGCUGUAGAACUAGCCAAAGUUUUGUUCCAAUUCUCCACCAAGUUUCACAAUAGUCAGGAGUUAGAAUUGGUCUGUAUGUUAUGAAACAGCUAGUUUUUAUACUUCAAACUUAAAAGGAAGCUUUAGUUGUUUAUAAUUACUGUGGCUAUUUUCCAAGAGACAGAAUGACAUCUGUGGAAGAUUCUACAAAGGUCUUGAUGCCAGACAUUGUGGUUACUUCCCUGCUCAAAGCCAAUGGUAUGUGCUUCAAGGAACUCCCUGGCUAUAAGCAGUUGGCUGCCUCGACAACAAAUAGCUAAUGUCUUAGCUCUUUUCUGUCUCUACUGCCAGCCCCUUGGGGAUGUGACUUGAGAAAGCACUCCCCUCCCCAUUUUCUUCUGUAACCUCUUUGGAGGAAGUCGCCAGAGUAACCAACCACUUUCUUUUAUGCUAGUUUUUUUUUUUUUUGAGAGAGCGCCUCGCUCUGUCUCCCAGGCUGGAGUGCAGUGGUACAGUCUUGGCUCAGUGCAACCUCUGACUCGUGGGGUUUACGUGAUUCUCCUGCUUCAGCCUCCAGAGUAGCUGGGAUUACAAGUACGUGCCACCAUGCCCAGCUAGUUUUUUGUAUUUUUAGUAGAGACAGGUUUGGCCAGGCUGGUCUCGAACUCCUGACCUUGUGAUCCGCCUGCCUGGGCCUCCCACAGUGCUGGGAUUACAGGCGUGAGCCACUGCACCCAGCCCUAUGCUAGUUUUGUUGAAUGCAGGGGAAAACACUUCCCCACAGACACAGGACAGACGUUGAAGAGUGGGGAGGAGGAGAAUACACACAGUCACUGAGCACCUGAGCCAUGCUGUGUACCUGGUGUCACUGAGUUCCCUCAUCAGCCUUCUGACACAGGCAUUAUUAUCCCCAUUUCACUGAUAGAGAUGGAUGGUUCUCAUAUGGAACAGACAUCUUCCCAUAUUGUACUCCUUGCCCUGGCAGAUGACCACAAUGGACUCUACAACCCAAGGUCACACAACUGGCAAGUGACAGGCAGGAGGACUCAACCCCAGGUUUAUCUUUCUCAGGCCUUUGCUCUUAGUUUGUAAAUUAAGCAAGUAUAGACACACAAAAGCAAUCUGCUUCUAUGUAGGAAAAGUGUUGCACUCUUUCUUUUUCUCAGUAUGGGGAGAUGCCUUUCUCUAGUCCCCCGCAACUAUUAUAUACUCAGUUUAGUUUCAUUUUUAUCUGGUUCCUCGUCUUAGAAUAUAUUCUCUGUAUUCACUUCCCUGGCCACCUGAGAAACCCUUUUACUAAUUUAAUACUGCUUUCAGUCCAAACCAAACUCCUUUUCUUGACUACCUAGAAAAUCUCUCGUUAAUGAGUCUUAACUCCCCUGAACCGAGAGUCUCACCCUGGAACAUGCUUAAGAAAGGCCAGAACUGGGAGGCAACAGCCUGAAUGGAAGACGGGGGUCAAUUACCAUCAGAGGGGGCAAGCCAGACGAGCCCAGCAAGCAGGAGCCGAAAGGUCAGAAAGCCAGUGAGCAUAGGGUGGGCGGCAGGAGCAGACCAGGUCACAUAGGCCAUGUUGCCCCCUUGUGGUGGCUGCUGGGCACUGGCCAUGCCUGUGCUUGUCUCUGCCAUCUUGUCAUUCAUGAAAUUGCUCAAGAAAAUGCCUUCUACCAUUCUGUGCCUGCUCAGUCUCUAAGAAGUUUUGGGGGAUCAUUUAGAAUUAGUUAAUUUAGAACUAGCAUUUAAAAGUUAAACGGGCUGGGCAUGAUGGCUUAUACCUGUAAUCCCAACACUUUGGGAGGCUGAGGUGAGCAGAUCACUUGAGGCCAAGAGUUCGAGACCAGCCUGCCAAACAUGGAGAAACCCCAUCUCUGCUAAAAAUACAAAAAUUAGCUGAGUUUGGUGGCGGGUGCCCGUAGUCCCAGCUGCUACUCGGGAGGCUGAGGGAGGAGAAUCACUUGAACCCAGGAGGCAGAGGUUGCAGUGAGCAGAGAUCAUUGCACUCCACUCCCACUUGAGUGACAGAGUGAAAUUCUGUUUCAAUAUAAAUAAAAAUAAAUUUUUAAAACAGCUUAUAAGUUAAAAUAUAUCUGAAAUGAAGCAGAGAGAAGAUUAUUAAAAGAGAAAUGUUUAAUGAGGGGCAAAGCACAGCCUUGACUCAGCUUCUGCUAAGAAUGGAUGGCUCUCAUUUGGCACAGAUGUCUUUCCAUAGUGCACUCCUUGUCCUGGCAGAUGAAUCAGAACUGUUAGAACCACACUGGACUCUACAGCCCGUUUUCUGGCAGCACUCCCCCUUUACGGUUAGAUAACUGAAAACAAGAAAAGAUAGGUAAGAAGCUCAACAUUACUCAGCUAGUAAGUGGUUGGUACUGGAAUCAGGUUCUGCUUACUUAGUCUGAAAUUUUUCAGCCACUUCAUACCAUUUGAUCAGCAUAUUUGCCCUUUGUUUCUGAAUGAAAUGGAAAAACUAAUUCCUUCUUUCCAACAAAAUUACUGCCAUUCAUAUUAGUGUUACUACCACUGCUGGUGAAAAUAUACUGAACUUGUGCCAUGCGUCAGGCCUAAUGGCUAAGGCUUUGCAUCAUUUACUCUUUCCGGUAACCCCAGAGUAGGUACUAUUACUGUCUGAUUACAGAAGACAAUGGAGGCCAAGAAGGAUUAAACAGUUUCCUUGCAUCACACAGCCAAAAAUGGUAAAGCCAGAUUCGAAGUCUAGGCUCUUUGAUUCUGGAGUUCAUGCUGGUAACUACCGGCUAUCCAUCUGGCAGUGUUUUGUUCUUUUGUUGAAUUACUAAAACAGAACUAUUUUCUCUGAAUGCAGAAGUUGAAACCUGUUGAGGAAAUUCAACCAGAGUAUUUCUUGAAGAAAAAAGAGACCAUUUCCUGAUUUAUUUGUUUAACCCCAUGACAUCAUUAGCGUUGGUAGUAUCUGCUCCUUUGCCUUCACUCACAAGAAUAAAGUGCAGAUAGUGUUUUAGCAACUACUGAAGCUGUUCAGAGGGCCAGAAGCUGGACCCUCCUCUGUUAUUUUCUCUGCCCUUUUUAAUUUGUGGAACUUACCAUCCCCGCCAUCCAGUAAAGGCUGCAAAGGCCCUAGACUAGUCCCUGCAGUUAGUAUCGAUGUUUUUUUCUUGCUUGCUACCUACUUUUACUACAAACUCUGUCUUGCCCAUGGUCAAACUGUUAUCUCUAAAACUCCAACUUCAGGCUACCUCUGACCCUUUGAAUUUGCCAUAGUUAGAAAAAUCAGGAAAAUAGGAAACCUAACCAGCAAAGAAACAUCUGGGAGUGUGUUUGUUGUCACUGUAAGCAAUGACACAUAGAUUAAAACAAUAAUGAGAUACCACAGGCAGGAAUGGAUAGAGCAUGGACUCAAACUUUGAGUUCAAAGCCUGUCUCUAUCCUUUAUAAGCUUUGCAUUCAAUUUAAGCUUUCUAAGCCUCAGUUUCUUUAUCUGUAAGGUGGGGAUAAUAACGGUAGCACUUCACAAUCUUGUGAGGAUUAAACAAGAUGAGAUAUAUGAAGCAUCUAACACUGUGCCUAGAACAGUGUAAAGGCUAAUUAUCAAAGUCAUAAUGUAGCCUUUUUACCCAUUCAAUUAGGAAGACAUUUUGAGCGAUAUUCAGUGUUGGUGAGCUGGUAAUGCAAUUUGUUCUUGUAUACAGGCACACCCAGUUUUAUUGUGCUUUGCUUUUUCUGCCUUGCAUAUCCUGUGUUUGUUACAAGUUUAAGGUUUGUAGCAAACCUGUGUGGAGCAAGUCUUUUGGUGCGGUUUUUUCCAACAGAACGUGUUCACUUUAUGUCUCUAUGUUGCAUUUCAGGAAUCCUUGCAGUGUUUCACACUUUUUCGUUAUUAUGCCUGUUAUGGUGAUCUAUGUGAUCUUUGGUGUUACUGUUGUAAUUGUUUUGGGGUGCCAUGAAUAGCACCCACAUAAGAUGGUAAGCUUAAGAGAAAUACUGUGUGUCUUCUGACUGCUCCAUUGAUUAGCCAUUCCUGUUUCUCUCCCUAUCCUUGGGCCUCCAUCUUCCCAGAGAUAACAGUAUGAAAUUAGACCUCUAAGUGUUCAAGUGAAAGGAAGAGUCACAGUCUCUCACUUUAAAUAAAAAGCUACAAAUGAUUGAGCUUAGUGAGGAAAGCAUGUUGAAAGCCAAGGUAGGACACAUGCUUGAAGGAAAUUAAGUGCUAUUCUGGUGAACACACAAAUGAUAAGAAAGUGAAACAGGGCCGGGUGCGGUGGCUCAAACCUGUAAUCCCAGCACUUUGGGAGGCCGAGGCGGGUGGAUCACCAGGUCAGGAGAUCGAGACCAUCCUGGUCAACAUGGUUGAAACCCCGUCUCUACUAAAAAUACAAAAAAAAUUAGCAGGACAUGGUGGCGCGUGCCUGUAGUCCCAGCUACUCAGGAGGCUAAGGCGGGAGAAUUGCUUGAACCCAGGAGGCAGAGGUUGUGGUGAGCGGAGAUCGCGCCAUUGCACUCCAGCCUGGGUAACAAGAGCGAAACUCCGUCUCAAAACAAACAAACAAACAAAAAAAGUGAAGCAGCCUUAUUGCUCAUAUGGUGAAAAUUUAAGGGGUCUGGAUAGAAGAUAAAAACAGCCACAUUCCCUUAAGCCAGAGCCUAAUCCAGAGCAAAGCCCAACUCUCUUCAGUUCUGUGACGAAUGAGAGAGCUGAGGAAGCUACAGAAGAAAAGUUUGAAGCUAGCAGACGUUGAUUCAUGAGGUUUAAGGAAAAAAACCGUCUUAGCCAGGUGCAGUGGCUCAUGCCUGUAAUCCCAGCGCUUUGGAGGCUGAGGUGGGCGGAUCACUUGAGGUCAGGAGUUUGAGACCAGCCUGGCCAACAUGAUGAAACCCUAUCUCUAUUAAAAAUACAAAAAUUAUCUGGGUGUGGUGGCUUGUGCCUGUAGUCCUAGGUACUUGGGAGGCUGAGGCAGGAGAAUCACUUGAACCUGGGAGGCGGAGGUUGCAGUGAGCUGAGAUUGUGCCACUGCACUGCAGCCUGGGUGACAGAGCAAGAUUCUGUUAAAAAAAAAAAAAAAGGCAGCCGCUGCCAUCUCUAUAACAUAAAAGUACAAGGUGAAGCAACAGUUGCUGCUGUAGAAGCUGCAGCAAUUUAUCCAGAAGAUCUAGCUGAGGUCAUUGCUGACUGUGGCUGCACUCAACAGAUUUUCUUCCUUGCUUUUUUUUUUUCUCUUUUUGAGACAGAGUCUUGCUCUGUUGCCCAGGCUGGAGUGUGAUGGUGCAAUCUCAGCUCACUGCAACCUCUGCCUUCCGGGUUCAAGCAAUUCUCCUGCCUUAGCCUCCUGAGUAGCUGGAAUUACAGGUGCCCGCCACCACACCCAGCUAAUUUUUGUAUUUUUAGUAGAGACAGGGUUUCACCAUGUUGGUCAGGCUGGUCUGGAACUCCUGACUUCAGGUGAUCCAACCGCCUCGGCCUCCCAAAGUGCUGGGAUUAUAGUUGUGAGCCACCGCGCCCAGCCCAGAUUUUUAACAUGGAUGAAACAGCCUUCUUUUGGAAGCAGAUGCCAUCUAGGACUUUAAUGCCUGGCUUCAAGGCUCCAAAGGACACAUUGAUUCUUUUGUUAGAGACUAAUGCAGCCGAUAACUUUAAGUCGUUUCAAAAUAAAUGCUUAUGCUUGUUACCAUUCCUAAAAUCCUAGGGCCCUUAAGAAUUACUCUAAAUAUACUCUGCCUUUGCCGUCUGAAUGUAAUAACAAGGCCAGGAUGACAGUACAUAUGUUUACAGCAUGGUUUACUGUACAUUUUAAGCCCACUGUUGAGACCUACUUCUCAGAAAAAAAGAUUCCUUUCAAAAUAUUGCUGCUCAAUUCAGUGCUGCUUCUUGGUUGGUAAAAAACAACUAGAAUACUACUCCUGGCUGGGUGUGGUGGCUCGCACCUGUCAUUCCAGCACUUUGGGAGGCUGAGGUAGGCAGAUCACCUGAAGUCAGGAGUUCGAGACCAGCCUCACCAACAUGACAAAACCCUGUCUGUACUAAAAGUACAAAAAUUAGCGGGGAACGUGGUGGCUCGAUCUUGUAAUCCUAGCUACUUGGGAGGCUGAGGCAGGAGAGUUGCUUGAACCUAGAAGGCAGAGGUUGCAGUGAGCCAAGAUCACACCAUAGCAACUCCAGCGUGGGCAACAAGAGAAAAACUCCAUCUCAAAAAAGUGAAUAAAUAAAAUAAAAUAUUACUCCUCAUUGACAAUGCACCUAAUCAUCCAAGAGCUCUGAUAGAAAUGUACAAGAUUAAUGUUUUCAUGUCUACUAACACAGCAUCCAUUCUACAGCCCAUGGAUCAAGAAGGAAUUUCAACUUCCAAGUCUUAUUAUGUAAGAAAUACAUUUCAUAAGGCUAUAUAUAGCUGUCAUAGAUGAUGAUUCCUCUGAGGGAUCUUGGCAGAGUGCACUGAAAACCUUCUGGAAAGGAUUCACUCUUCUUUUUUUUUUUUUUUUUGAGACGGAGUUUCGCUCGUUACCCAGGCUGGAGUGCAAUGGCGUGAUCUCGGCUCACCGCAACCUCCACCUACUGGGUUCAGGCAAUUCUCCUGCCUCAGCUUCCUGAGUAGCUGGGAUUACAGGCACACGCCCACAUGCCCAGCUAAUUUUUUGUAUUUUUAGUAGAGACGGGGUUUCACCAUGUUGACCAAGAUUAUUUCGAUUUCCUGACCUCAUGAUCCACCCACCUCGGCCUCCCAAAGUGCUGGGAUUACAGGCUUGAGCCACCGCGCCUGGCCUGGAUUCACUCUUUUAAAUGCCAUUAAGAAUAUUCAUGUUCAUGGGAAGAGAUCACAACCUUAUCAAUGUUAACAAGAAUUUGCUUGAAGUUGAUUGCAACUCUUUUGGAUGACUUUGAGGGGUUUAAGACUUCAGUGGAAGAAGUUAACUGCAGAUGUGAUUGAAAUAGCCAGAGAUCUAGACUUACAAGUGAAGCCUGAAGAUGUGACUGAUCUGCUGUGGUCUCAUAAAACUUGAACGGAUGAGGAAUUGCUUCUUGUGGAUGAGCAAAGAAAGCAGUUUCUAGAGAUGGAAUCUACUCCUGGUAAAGAUGUUGUGACCAUUGUUAAAAUGACAGAGGAUUUAAAAAUACCACAUAAAUUCAUUAAAUCAGAAGCAGGGUUUCAGAGGAUUAACUCCAACUUUUUUUUGCGACAGAGUCUCACUCUGUCACCCAGGCUAGAGUGCAGUGGCACAAACUCAGCUCACUGCAACCUCCCCCUCGUGGAUUCAAGUGAUUCUCCUGCCUAAGCCUCUUAAGUAGCUUGGAUUACAGGCAUGUGCCACCAUGCCAAGCUAAUUUUUGUAUUUUUAGUAGAGAUGGCCAGGCUGGUCUUAAACUUCUAGCCUCAAGUGUUCCACCUGCCUUAGCCUCUUAAAGUGCUCGGAUUACAGUGUGAGCCACCACACCCGGCCUAUUGACUCCAGUUUUGAAAGAAAUUCUACUGUGGGAGCAUCACAUAAUAUAGAGAACUUUUUUGUGAAAGGAAGCAUCAAUUGAUGUAGCCAAUUUCAUUGUUAUUGUUUGUUUUUUGAGACAGAAUCUCUGUCACCUAGGCUGGAGUGCGUGGCACCAUCUUGGGUCACUGCAACCUCCACCUCCACCUCAAGUGAUUCUUCUGCCUCAGCCUCCUGAGUAGCUGGGAUUACAGGUAUGUGCCACCACACCUGACUAAUUCUGUAUUUUUAGUAGAGAUGAGGUUUCUCCAUGUUGGUCAGGCUGGUCUCGAAUUCCCAACCUCAGAUGAUCUGCCUGCCUUGACUUCCCAAAGUGCUGGGAUUACAGGCAUGAGCCACCACACCUGGCCAAACUUAACUUUUAUAUGCACUGGAAAACCAAAAAAUUAAUGUGACUUAUUGAGAUACUCACUCUAUUGCAGUGGUCUGGAACUGAACCUGCAAAAUCUCCAAAGUAUACUGGAAUAUUGUUACAGACACUGUAAAUUGGUAUACAUCUUUUUUGCUUUUUGUUUUAGAAACGGUCUUGCUCUGUUACCCAGGCUGGAGUGCAUAGGUGUGAUCAUAGCUCACUGCAGUCUUAAAUUUCAGGAUUCAAGUGAUCCUUCCACCUUAGCCUCUGAAGUAGCUGGGGCUAUAAGUUCAUACUACCAUGCCUUGCUAAUUUUUUGUUUUUUGUAGAGACAGGGUCUCACUGUGUUGCCCAGGCUGACAUACUUUCAAAAACAGUUUUGGCAUAUAUAUAAAGGAUAUUAAGAUAGUAAUAAUAUUUGAUGGAUUCUACUUUGGGGACACUAUCCUAAGAAUGUAAUUUAAUAUCUGAAAAGAAAGCCUGAUAAUGUAAUAUUAUUUAUUAUGGUGAGUAAUCGAUUUCAGUAAAAUAUGAUCUUUCGGCUUGGUGCAGUUUAACAUUAUUAAUGUAGAAACUUCAGCUACAUGGAAAAAUACUUAUGACUGCCAAGACCACAUCCACCCCGCGAGCACAGAGCCUUGCCCUUGCCGUUCCGUUGCCCAUCCACACCCACCACCAGCCACCAUGGAUGAUGAUAUUGCUGCACUUGUUGUCGACAACAGCUCCGGCAUGUGCAAGGCCGGCUUCGCGGGCGACGAUGCUCCCCGGGCCGUCUUCCCCUCCAUCAUGGGGCACCGCAGGCACCAGGGCGUGAUGGUGGGCAUGGGUCAGAAGGACUCCUACGUGGGUGAUGAGGCCCAGAGCAAGAGAGGCAUCCUGACCCUGAAGUACCCCAUCGAGCACAGCAUUGUCACCAACUAGGACGACGUGGAGAAGAUCUGGCACCACACUUUCUACAACGAGCUGCGUGUGGCUCCUGAGGAGCACCCCGUGCUGCUUACUGAGGCCACCCGAACCCCAAGGCCAACCAUGAGAAGAUGACCCAGAUCAUGUUUGAGACCUUCAACACCCCAGCCAUGUAUGUGGCCAUCCAGGCUGUGCUUUCCUUGUACGCCUCUGGCCGUACCACUGGCAUCGUGUGCCCAUCUAUGAGGGGUAUGCCCUCCCCCACGCCAUCCUGCGUCUGGACCUGGCUGGCCGGGACCUGACUGACUACCUCAUGAAGAUCCUUACCACUACAGCUUCACCACCACAGCUGAGCGGAAAAUCAUGCGUGACAUCAAGGAGAAGCUGUGCUAUGUCGCCCUGGACUUCGAGCAGGAGAUGGCCACGGCAGCCUCCAGCUCCUCCCUGGAGAAGAGCUAUGAGCUGCCGGAUGGUCAGGUUAUCACCAUCGGCAAUGAGCGGUUCUGCUGCCCUGAGGCGCUCUUCCGGCCUUCUUUUCUGAGCAUGGAAUCUUGUGGCAUCCCCGAAACUACCUUUAACUUCAUCAUGAAAUGUGACGUGGACAUCCGCAAAGACCUGUAUGCCAACGCAGUGCUGUCUGGUGGUACCACCAUGUACCCUGGCAUCGCUGACAGGAUGCAGAAGGAGAUCACCACUCUGGCACCCAGCACGAUGAAGAUCAAGAUCAUUGCUCCUCCUGAGCGCAAGUACUCCAUGUGGAUCGGUGACUCCAUCCUGGCCUCACUGUCCACCUUCCAGCAGAUGGGGAUCAGCAAGCAGGAGUACGAAGAGUCCGGCCCCUCCAUCGUCCACCGCAAAUGCUUCUAGGCGGACUCUGACUUAGUUGCGUUACACCCUUUCUUGACAAAACCUAACUUGCGCAGAAAACAAGAUGAGAUUGGCAUGGCUUUGUUUGUUUUUUGUUUUGUUUUGGUUUUUUUUUUUUUUUUUGGCUUGACUCAGGAUUUAAAAACUGGAACGGUGAAGGUGACAGCAGUCGGUUGGUGCGAGCAUCCCCCAAAGCUCUACAAUGUGGCCAAGGACUUGAUUGUGUAUAUUGCUUUUUUUUUAAGUCAUUCCAAAUAUCGUGAGAUGCAUUGUUACAGGAAGUCCCUUGCACUCCCAAAAGCCACCCUACUUCUCUCUAAGGAGAAUGGCCCAGUCCUCUCCCGAGUCCACACAGGGGAGAUAACAGCGUUGCUUUUGUUGUAAAUUAUGUAAUGAAAAAAUUUUUAAAUUUCGCCUUAAUACUUUUAUUUUGUUUUAUUUUGAAAGAUUUUAGCCUCUGGCUACCCCUUUUUUUGUCCCUCAACUUGAGAUGUAUGAAGGCUUUUGGUCUCCCUGGGAGUGGGUGGAGGCAGCCAGGGCUUACCUGUACACUGACUUGAGACCAGUUGAAUAAAGUGCACACCUUAAAAAAAAA